CCCAAAGAAAAAAACAAAUGUUACCCAAUAGGCAAACAAUGCUGAGAGUUCACUUCCUCUAACUCUGUAGUUAAGUUACUCACUCAGUAUAACAUCACCCUCCUGCCAGGGGUUGAAGUCAGGAAGUAGUUUAUUUUCGCUGAAACUGAAGGGGGAAGUUAAAGAGAAAAAUAGCUGCAACUUGGUCAAUUCAGGAAAACCAGGUACGAAAAAAGAGGAGCAAGUUAAAGGGAAAGCCAGCUCGGAUUUGCUCACCAGUAAAAGGCAAAAAUCCCAGUGUUAUUCAUCUGCAUUUGGUGUGAAAGACAAAAGCUCAACUGGGAUCUGAGGCUUUCUGUGUCAGAGGGCAAGGAGUCAAUGGGGUUAUGAGGAAGUAAGACCACUUGAGACAUCAAAGAAAAGUAGAUCAAAUCACUAGACUCCUCCAAACAGGAGUGGGUGAAGACAAAAAGUGGAGAGAAUCCAGAGGGAAGAGAGGAGUAGGGAAAAUGGUGGAAAGGGAAGGUUUUUGAGAUGGAAGGCAGAGAAUGGGAACAAAAGAAGAAAAAGCUGUUUGUUUCAAAUCAAUAUUCUCCAAGAGGAUGUCUUGUUUCCCCAGGGAUAUUCUGAGGGACUCACAGGAUCAGAGCUGCGACACUUCUAACAUAUGAAUUCUCUCAAUUCUGAUGCCCUUUGACCUCUGCCACACAAUGCCAAGACAAACCCAGACCCCAGGCCCUGGAAACAGAGGAGGGGCAGGUACACAAAUAUCCAAGAUUGGAAAGAAGAAAGAAAAUGACGACAGAAUUUUGCAGUCUACAAGGCAAACACUGCCAUUCAUGUAGUUAUGGAGUUCCUACUAUGUGCAGACAAUGGGAAACUUUACGAAGGAACCUCGACGUAGCCUGUUCCCAAUGCCCUCUGUGGAAUCAGCCAGGUCCAUGCCACAAGUAUGAAUUGUUUCCAGUGCGGCAGUCCUGGGAGUGCCUGAGCCACAAGCCAGUGUCCCCUACUCAGUUGUGCCCUGUGGGGACUGAAGCAGGACUAUAUUCUCACAGGCUCUCCUAAAAGCUGGGCUGCCAGCUUCUAGCUCUACUCCUUUCUCAAAGUGGCCCAGGCCAUCUCUCAGACCAAGGGUAAAUGCUAUGCCAGUUCCACCUGUUGUCUUUGUGUGCAUAAAUCUCAUUCUUUGUGCUUUAUCUCAAAAAAAAAAUCAACUCAUAGGAUUAUAAUCUCCUGAAGAGAUUCCACAGCCCACCAGUCCUACAAAGUCAGACAUAGAGGGCCAGUUUAGGCAUAUAUAUAUAUACACACACACACACACACACACACACAUUUAUAUAUAAACAUAUAUAUGUAAACUCUACAUGUGUGUGCAUAUAUAUAUACAUACACAUAUAGAGAGAGUUUAUGUUUAUAUAUACAUAUAAAUUAUAUAUAGAAUUUCUAUAGAAAUACAAACUAUAUAUAGAAUUUAUAUAGACAUAUAUAAAUGAUAUGUCUAUAUAAACAUAUAUAUGAACUCUGUCUCUCUCUAUAUAUAUAUAUUUUAUAUAUAUAUUAUAUAUAUAUAUUUUAUAUAUAUGUAUUUUAUAUAUAUAUAUAUAAAACUCAUGUUAUAUAUGACAAAUCCCAUAUAUAAUAAAUCAGUGGUGGGGUAUGGUAAUUCAAAAAAAUGAAUAUGGUUUCAGAUGGAAAUUAAUUUAUAUGGCCAAGACUGUUAAUUAGGCUUUUGUUGCCUUUAACCUAAGAGUAAGGCCAGCAUCUGUGGUUAUGAGCAAAUACUUAAGGCUAUGGUAGCUGCAAACACUUGCAGCCCUGGGUCGAAGGACAAAGGCUAGAAUAAAUUCCCUACCAAACGCUCAGAAGUGAUAUUAUGCAAAGAAGAUGUAUAUUUUAAUAAAUAUUUGUGGAAUGCCUAUUACUUGCCAGGAACUAAGGACACAAAAGGAAUUAAAGCACCAGGUCAGUCCCAAAACAGCAUGAAAUUUGCACCCAGGCAGAUCUGGGUUCAAGCCCUAGUUCUGUCCCUUGCUAUUGCUUCUUCUAUGACCUUAAGAAUCUUCAAGAUGGAGUUCUCAAGAGGCACAAGUAUGACAGUGUACAUGGAAUUACUUGCCAUUAGCACAGAUGUUUGUCGUGUAUUCAUUUAUGAGUAAAUAAUUAUUGAGUGACAACUAUAUCCCAGGCAUUGUUCCAAGAAUUAGAGUUACAGCAGUAGACAAGAAAGAAUGUCUCAUAAUAAUGAAAUGAAGCUAACUUUAUUACAUUUAUAUCACAGUGAAAUCAACCAGGUCAAAGGAAAUGAUUCUUACCCUGUGUCACUCCAAAAGAUCUUAUCCAAAAUAAAAUGAUGUAUUUUUUAAUUUCCAAAAAUAGAUUAAAUUAAGUUGAGGUCUCUACCUGUACAGUGGCAGGAGAGAUGAAUCAGCACCUUAACAAUUUAUUUUGCUCACCUCCUCCUUCAUUCUGUUCUCUACUCUUUCCCUCAAUUGGUAGUUUUUGUCCCUGGAUGGCCUCUCCUCACACUUUUGUGUGGACAGACAUGAAUGUUCAGUUUUGUGUGUAGUGUGUGUGUGUGUGUGAGAGAGAGAGAGAGAGAGAAAGAUAACUGAGAGUGUGCACGUGUGUCUGCAAGAACAAUGGUAGAAAUCCAUGAUCCUUUGAAGAAAUUUAACCUGGGUUAAUUACUCAAAAUCCUUAUAUUCAGAACCUUCCAUAUUGAAGCUUCCCUGAUCUUUCUCUGCUCCAAUAGCUCAUAGCAAUGCCUGAAUGCUUUGUUUCUUAAAGAGGAGUUUAUAUUUAUAGAGAAGUUGUAAAGAGUCUCCAUAUACCUGCACCUAAUUCCCCUGUUAUCAGGAAUUUGCACUAGUAUGGCACAUUUGUUAUCAUUAAUGAACCAAAACGGAUAUUAUUAUUGGCUAAAGUUCAUGCUUCAUCUAGGUUUCCCAACUUCCCUGAGGUCCUUUUCUUGUGCCAGAAUCCCAUCCAGGAGACCACAUUACAUUUAGUCCUCAUGACUCUUAGACUCUUCUUCUUGGCUGUGAUAGUUUCUCAAACUUUUCUUGAUUUUGAUGACCCUGACAGUUUGAGAAGUAUUGGUCAGAAAUUUUUGUAGAAUGUCUACUGGUUGGAAUUUGUCUGGGGUUUUUCUCAUGAUGAAACUGAGGUCAUGGGUUUUUGGGAGGAAGACCACAGAGGCAAAGUGCCAUUCUCUUCCCAUCAUACCAAAGGUACAGGCUAUCAACAUGACUAACUUAUCAUUAUUGAUUUUUACCAUGAACACCAGGCUGAGAUAGUCUGAACAUCCUUUUUAACAGAGAUUUUUACCAAUUAUUAUAUUUGUAUUCCCAAACUGCUUCAAAGAUAUUUAUCAAGAAAUCUCAAAAUAGCCUCUUAUUUUUACCUAAAAUUCAUUCAUCCCUUAAUUUUCACUGAGAAAAUAUAUUGAGUCUACUAUCAAAUGCCAGGCACUGAGGAUACAGGCAUAAAUAAAACAUGUUCCUACUUUCAAGAGCUCAUGGCCCAGUCUAAUGCAAGAGAGACUUGUAAAAAUGUAAAGAAGGAUCCAAUGAGUUAAGGGACACUGUUUAAGGAAUAAAAGGAACCCUGAGAGGUAUAGUUAUCAUUUCCGUGAGGAGCUAGGAGGAGGGAAAAUCUCCUUCCUAGAGAAAGGGACUCCUAAGCUGAUCUUGAAAGGUACAUAGGAUUCUGCCAAGCAGAAGAGAAAUCAUGUGCAAAGCAGGUGUGUGUUCAUGAAAGCUGGUUUUAGAGAAGUGGCGGGGAAGGAGGAUGAAGUGGUAGGUAGAGAUCGUGGAGAGCCCAGUUUGCAUUUUGAAUUGUGUGGCUCUCAGGCUGCUAGAGUCAAAGUAUUAGAAGGUAAAGGCAGGCUUCUAGCAGGUUCCACAUCUGAAGCAGGAGUAAUAGUUGGUCAAGUAGUCUUCCCUGAAGGCUUGGAGACAGGGCACUAGAGUAGCACACCUCUAUACACAGAUAGGAUCUGUGCCUCAGCUCUGGCACAGAUUUCUCUCUCUCUCUCUCUCUAACACACACACACACACGCACACGCACACACACAAACAUACACACACACAGAGGGAGAGACAUAUUUGCCACAUAUCCAUUCUCUAAGAGCUGCCAACCCAGACUGACAAAUCUUUAGAAUUUACUACUUUGUCUCUUUUUUCUACACCUUGGCAGUGGAUGGAGCAGCAUCAGCCAUGGCUCAGGAAUGCAGCCGCCUACUUUCCUGUUAUCAGCAGGCAUUCCUGUGGUUACACUAUUCCUGCUUAGCUUAUCAAUGGCCCUUGGGAACACAGAGUCAGCACCCAAAGAGGGCCAGAACAGCCUGCUUGUUGGACGCCCAUCCACACCAUGAGGCUUUCCUGGAUGUAGAGGGAAGUUACUGUUCCUCGGGAAAACCCCUCUUCCCAGCUGGUAUGAAUGCUUUAGCUUAAGAAUCUGCCUCAUGUGUUUCAUACUCAGAGACACGACCCCCUAAUCUUUAUGUGUGAAAACUUCCCGUUGAUACCAAAAGGAGCUUUUCCUAGGAUAUCACUGACCCAGGGUAAGACACAGUGAGUGAAGUCUGUGCAUUUUGUUAGAAGAUUAAAUAUCCAUUAUAUCCCCCCAUAUUCUUCCUCACCCCAACAUAUCUCUUUGUCUCCAAGUUUUAGAACUUCUAGAAUAUAAAAUAUAAUGUAUGAUAUAUAGUCAUAUAACAUCUAGUAUUCCCUCAAUAGCAUUCCAUCAUCAGAAUAAAGUACAAAAUCUGCCAUCCAUCAUGAGAGACCUUUUAGGAUCAGGAUGCUGCCCUGCUCUCUAGCCUCAUCUGUCCUCACUACCUGCUUGGCCAUUGAUGCUCCAUCUUCCUGAACUACACCCCAGAAACUCAGCAAUCAGGCCAUGUUCUCUCUUAUAGCAUUGCUUUUGACAUGCUGGUCUCUCUGCUUGGGUUCCUUUCUUUUUGGGAUUUUUCCAUCCAUCUUUGUCUGGCUAACUCCUGAUCUGCCUGCACCAUCUUUCGGAACUUUGAGAUGGGUGCCCCUCAUUUGUGCUAUCUUUGCUUAUUCUUGAAGCACCUUAGGCUUCCUCUCUCAUGACGUAUCUAAGUGGCCUGCAGUGGUCUACCUCUUCAACCUCACUCCCUGGGACCAUAUCUUAUUGCAGAGGGAUGUGACUGAGUGCAGCAGGCCAGUCAUCCUUCUGCUCUACCAUGCACAGGGCAUGGCCGUUUCUUCCUCGUGCUUGCUACCCCAUGAUUGCAAGAUGGUUGCUGUACUUCAAAGAAUCACAUCCUCACUUCAGGGUCUCAAGCAGGAAGGAAGGGGGCUAUGUUUUCUUUUUAAUCAAGGAGGAAAAAAGAAGCCCCAGGAAGAAUUCCUCUAUGCCAUAUUGGCCAGAACUGAGUCAUAUGGCCAUGUCUUGCUGAAAAGAAGGCUAAAUAGCAAGUAUCUGGCAAAGCAGAAAGAAUUGUCACAAUGGGUUGGAUCAUGAUUCAUGAGCUGGUACAUAGCCCACUGAGGCAAACUCGGGAUUUUGUUAGGCAGAAAGAGGUUAUAGCUUUUGACCUGUCAAGUAAUAGUAUCUACCACAUUGAAUUCCACUUUAGAAAACAUAGAUACAAAACACACUCCUGAAGAUUGCACCAACAGGAGGCAAAAUUUAAGGAGCAAGAGAAACUAUACAUGUAAGUGAUAAAAUAGUAAUAUUUAUCUGUUGGGACUCAAAUAGGUGUUUUGUCCCAGAAUUAUCUCAAUUCAUCAAGACUUCUUUGAAACUCCUUGCCCAUGCUUAGCCAUUUAUUCUAGGUAGAACAGUAAACGAAUCUCCAUUCUUAGAAAAGGUGGGCCUAGCUUCAUAGAACCGCACACAGCCCUAUUAUGUAAUAUAGCUUGGAAACUGUAUGAGCUAGUAAGUUUGAUUUGAUAUGUUUGAAAGUUUGGCAAAGCCUUAGUGAUAGGUUUGGGCAAAAAAAAGAUGAAACUCCAUAAUUAUUGUUUCCAUUAGCUAAAUCCAUCAGCUGCAGAUUUGGAGAAUACUUGUUUCAGGUAUUUGGUGAGCGACUCUCUUCUCUGAAGGUAUUCAAUCCCAAAGUGCACAUCAAAUCAUUUCCACUAAAACGCAUAAAGGUCUUGGUCAAAUGUGACUCAUGUGUAUUUAUCUUAUCCUUUUGCUGAAAUGAUUUCACCCAAACUUAAAAUAGAUAGAGGUUAGUUGACUCAGAAAAUUAGUGCACAGGAUGAAUAAAGAUAGUAUCAUGAGCUGGACAUCCAUCAGGUCAAUGCAUACUGCUCACUGAUAGCUUCCCCACCAACCUCUGUACUAUACCAUCACUGUUUUGCUAUCCUUCAUCCAUCUGCUAUGGAUGUAUCAUUUUUUGGUCCUCAGGCUAACAAUUUUCAUAGGAUUUAGGAUAGAAGUCAAAAUCGGAGUGUGCCAGAAAGUGAGGAUUAAAGGACGCAGGUCUCCAGGAUUUGUUCUCUCAUGGAAAGAACCCAAAAACCUGUCUCUGAAUUUGCUUCUUCCCUGCAAAGUAAAACAGGAUCAGGCCCUGGUCCCAGUUAGGAAUAUGUGCCCCCUCUAUCCCCUAUCCCCUUAGAAGCCAAGUGGGAACCAGAAAGAGGCAGUGGGAAAGGAGGAACCUGGGACAGCUUCCAGUCUAAGUAGGUGUUUGGGGAUUCUCCACGAGGUCCAGGUUAGAUCCCCAAGGAAAUGCACAGAACUACUGGUCAAAGACACAGAUAAUAGUAAAGUGCUUGUGUUUGCCACACAUUCUCUUCUGUGCAUAUGUAUUCCUUGGAGGUUUUUCAGGGAAGUGUGGUAGGCCAAGGAUGGGAUCUGAGAGUUUCUAGAUCACCUAACUAAUUACCAUUUCCUACUUUUUCAACCAUUUAUUUCCAGCUCGUUCCUCCUACAAAGCCAGUAAUCUGGCGCUGUAUACCCUUGAUUAUAGCAGGGAAAGACUACAAAGCAUUCUGAUGUAAAGACACAUGCACAGAUAAUGUAGUAAAAAGAAUAUAGAUUAGCAACACAUAGGUCUGGGUUUAAAUCUCAGUACAGCUGCUUUUUCAUUCUGUGACCUUGGGUAAUUUAUAUAUUAGCCUCUCUGAGCCUCAGUUCCCUUACUGAGUCAGUAACACUUACCUCAGGGAGUUAGUAUGAGGAUUAAAUGUAUAAAUGAAAUAAUUAACCACUUAUAAAAUGUGCCAGACAUCUAAUGUGUGUUCAACAAGUCUUAAUCUCUUAAGUGAACAUUCUUACUAGAAAACUAACUCACAACUCUAUUGAUGGUAAGCAAUAGAAAGGUAUUCCUAUAAAAAGACACUCAUCUUAUUUAUACAUAAACAAUAGGAAAAGAUGGCGACAAUGACCUUGCAUUUCUAGGCUAGUUUUGUCACCAUAAUAUAAAUUAAUUGAAACAGACAAACUACAUUAACCAAGUAUUUAUUGUUUUUAUUUCAGGGUUUUAAAAAGCAGCAGGUUUAAGAGCUGACCAUAUCUGAAAGACUCUAGAAUAGCAGAGGAUUGAUUAAAGGUCUGUGGCCACAGAUUGGAUGUGUUGAUUUUAUUUCCCCAAAGGUAUCCACAUAGCAACUUGGCAGUACACACAUAUCCCAAAUAUAUGUACACAGUGUUUACAGAAAAUACUAAUUGUACCCUUACCUAAAAUGUUAGGUCCCAUUUUCAUUUUAAAGACUCAUUAUGCUUUUCAUGAACUAACACUUUUGUUCAUUUCAAUUCUGUCAUGAAUUCGAAAGAAGGACACAGCAAAUAGGUACUUAACUAAAGUAAGUGCUUUCUCCCAUGGUUUUAUCAAUCCAAGUCUAUGGACAUAAUACAGAAUCAAGAAUCCAAGGAAACUGCUCUGAAUUUCACUGUAAGCAUAGCUCAUUUUUUUGACCUGUUGAUUGCAGUUAAUUUAACGUCACGACCUGCACCUCAGAAUCUCUCAUGUCCCCUGCAGCUUUGUCAAGAUGCUUUGUAUAUAGCUGGUACCCAGAGAAGGUUUGCCACAUUGCACGGAGUUGAUCACCCAUUUUAUUCACUGGAUUUGGCUUUGAGCAACUUACACUUUUUUCUCUCCAAAAAUUAAGUCCACCCACGAAGGAAAAAGGCAGAAGGAUGCUGUGGCAAAAAUGCUAUCCUGGAAAACAGAUCUUGGCCCUGGUCCCAGCUCUCUGUGACUUUGGACACAUCAGUUGAUCUUUUUAGAUCAAAUUUCCCCAUAAAAGGGGGUACUAGACAAGAUGCAUGUGCCAGACUGCCAAGGCCAAGGCACACCCUAAGCCACUCAUAGUAAUAUCCCUGGAACUGUAGACCCUUGCAGAGAGAUUAUAGAAGUGAUUUUGAAUAAUUAUUGAGUUAAGUGCUAGCAUUCCAGCAUGACCGCUUCAAAAGAGGUAAUGCAUAUUUUUUUUUGUAUUUUUUUGGCUUUUUUUAAAGUUACAUUACUUUAGUGUUAUAUGUCAUAUAGUCAUUAGGAAUUCCAAGAGAGCAAAUGUCAACAAAGGUCUGAAGUUGUUUGGCAUUUUAUCAAUCAUUAUUUAGAGUUUUCUUUUUUUCUUUUUUUUUUCUUAAUGUGGUUAGGGACACAGAGGUUCAUGUGAUGUAAUAAGAAAGAAAUAAAGGAAGCUUUAUCUGCCGCUCUUUCAACCUCAUCCACUCAACACUUACCCCGUGACAGACCCCAAUACUCUUAAUGAAUUCCCAAGGUUACGAAAGAACUUGGAAGAUCUUACAUUCCUACAUGGUGAUUACAGAGGCUCACAUUUUGCCAAGUCAUAUGCAGGUGGCUGAAAAAUGUGAUCUAACGUCCUUGAACACAUUUAUUACAAUCCAUCAUCUACAUGGCAACAGUCAGGGCCAUGCUCAUAAACCAGAACUGGUGCUAGAUCUGGUAAGUCAUUAAGCAAACAUAUUCCUGUGUUGUGCGUGGCGUGCAUGCCCACUGCCUGCCUAUAAAACGGAAAUAAGAUUUCUGAUUUGCAAAUUACCUCCUAAGACAUGUAAAGCUAGCUCCUUUAAUCCACAUUACUCAUUUUUGUAUUUUGACUGUUUCAAAUGCUAAAACAGACCUGAAUACAGUUUCCACAGUUCUCUUUAUAAUUAUUGUAUUUUUCAUUUACAUGAUCAUGAAACCUGUUAGCAAGUGAGAAACAGAAUCAUUUUCACUGAGACAAAAAAUAUUGAGAAUUAGGGGGAGAAACUCUGAAGCAAUAUAAACAACAGAGUCUAAUCUUAUCAAAGAGAGAAGGCAGUUGGUGAAUCUGAAAGAUCACUUACUUACCACUCAAUCAUAGAACUUAUACCCCCAAAUAGGAUUUAAGAAAGAAAAAAGCAAUUUAGUAGGAACUGGAAGUUAUAGGGCAUAGGUCUGCUUUAGUUGGUGACAAAAAUUAUGCCUCAGAGGUUAAGAGCAUGGAUUAGGGUGCUGGGUUGCCUGGUUUAAAUCCUAGCUCUGGCACUUACUACUGCAUGGUCCUUGACCAGUUAUUUAACUACUCUGUGCCUCGGCUUCCCAGUGUGGAAAGCAGAAAAACAGUAUCUCCCUUACAGAGAGGCUUUAAAGUUUAAAUGCAUUAACAAAGGGAAAAUCCUUUCAAUGUUGACACAUCAUGAGUGUGACAUAAGUAUUACCUAUUAUUUUUAUUAUGUGACCAAAUGUGGAAGAAAAAUUCUAUAAGAAAGUAGUAACAUUGUUUAGUCUUUCAAAAAUCAUAUAUUCUCCUCCAAUCCUGGCUCUCUGCAAUUCAAGAAAUCCUAACAAAUAGAAAACCUUUGUACACAGGAGAAAACGGAGAUGAGCAAAGGCAAUAUUUGGCUUAUUUGUUAUAACCCUAAUAAAACAAGACUGCUUGAAGAAAUAGACCAAAUUGUGGAAUGUUUAACAUUGAUCCAGGACUGGCUCUUCUGAGGAAAAGAUAUAAUAUUUAUCAUGUGGCCAAUUUUGUCUGUGAAGAUAAGGAGGAACUAAUCGGUCUCAACUUCAUGAUGUUGCUUAAAGGAGCAUAUAAAUGUACGAUCAUAAGUAUCCUUUAAAUGAAGGGGUUGGUUUUAUGACUGCAGAAGUGAGAAAGAGUAAGGUCAUUUAGCCUGAGCAACACAGCAAAACCUUGUCUCUACUAAAAAUUAAACAAAACAACCAAAAAAUCACUCAGGUGUGGUGGCGCAUGCCUGUGGUCCCAACUACUCAGGAGGCUGAGGUGGGAGGAUUGCUUGAGCCUGAGAGGUGGAGGUUGCAGUGAGCCUUGAUUGCGCCACAGCACUCUAGCCUGGGUGACAGAGCAAGACUGUCAAAAAAGGAAAGAAAAGAAAGAAAAGAAAAAGAAAGAAACUAAAACAGAAAGAAAAGAAAGAAAGAAUGGGAGAGAGAGAGGAAGGAAGGAAGGAAGGAGAAAGAAGA
rnacentral:lncRNA from 1 species